rnacentral:tRNA from 1 species
GCCCAUGUAGCUCAAAGGAUAGAGCGAAGGCCUUCUAAGCCUGAGGUUGUGGGUUCGAGUCCUACCAGGGGCG